UGCCAGAAGCUCCGGUCAGGUGUGGACUGUUAGCACUUGGUUUCUGCAAAAUUUCACCUGUUCUGAUGAUUCCUGAGUGGUUUUAGUUGGUGUGCGUCAAUGACGAAAUAACAACAUCCAUAUAUACCUAAUUGCAUAUUGUGUAGUUUGGAACCACAGAAAGAAAUCCCUGUAUGCCAUACCGUGCUGAUUGCCGAUUCUGAAUCCUAAUCAUACAAGUAAACCUACAU